AAACUUUCUUUCCAAAAGAAAACACACCUAUCAAAAUGAUCAAUGCUCCAAAUUCAGCAGCCAGAAGAAAGGAGGAAUUAAUAAGUCUUGAAAAGAAAACAACACUAAAAAAACGGUUGAAUUUUACCAAAGCAACACCAAGGGCAAAAUGGUCAAAAAUUGAAUCGGAAAAGAGAAAGCCAUCUCACAGCAUGUAUGUAGUAGCACCAACCAAAAACUUUGAAUUUUACCAAAGCAAUGCAAGUGACAAAAUAGUCAAAAGUUGAAUCGAAAGGGAGGAAGUCAUCUCACAGCAUGUAUGUACAACACCAUAAAGCUACUGCCUCUGUUAUUUACCCAAUUCAUCAACACCAUAAAGCGCCAGACCCCCCUCCCCUGAGAAUGCAGUCAGGAAGAAAGAGGAUCAAUUACAGCAGUUUUCUAUUGCAGAUCAAACACUGUAUAACACAAGGCACCCAACAUUUCUAUACCUUCAGACCCCUGUUUGGAGAAGUUCACAACAUCCUCGCCUUCUCAGACAUUGAAGAUGGGGGUUUCAAGACUAGCUUACACCAUUGACAAAACCAAUUCGAGAUUCCAAAGAGACCAUAGCACAAGGCACCCUACAAUUCUACUUUCGGACCCCUGCUUACACCAUGGACGAAGUCAAUUUAUCCAUCCAAAUCAUUUGAAUCCAAGUGCAGAAACCACAAACAAAUCAUUUGAAUCCAUCCAAAUUGCACAAAAUUUAUCAACUUAAAGUCAGAUUGGUGAUUACACAAAAGUGUGAAUCCAUUUCCAUAGUAGACGCAGAGUGGUUUGAAGUGGUGGUCAGGAUCGUUGAAGUGGAUAUCAAUUAAUUAAAAGGUAUGUAUUGGUGUCUUUCCUCAUUUUUCUGUUCUAUCUUCUUCCAACAUUCCGUUUAGGAUCGCUUGUACAUGUUCCUGGCAAAAAUGUUAGUCUAAUAAAUAUCAACUGUUUGAUGAAAUGCCUCAAUGUUUUUUUUUUUAAUUUUUUUUUCUGAAUUUAAUGCCACAUCAGCUGUAUGGUAUUGGUUUGUUCAUAGUGUAGUGUAUUGAUAUUAUAGAGUACUUGAAAACAAAGAAUAUUUACAGAAAAUAAAUGAUCUCCAAGACACCCAAUACACCAAUACAGAAUGAGAGAAGUAUGAUUUCCAGGCAAUGCUAUUGACAUAUUAGCUAAUUUUACACUUAAAAUGUGAACCAGACUUACCUAUUUUUGUAGCUGUUUAAUGUUCUUAUGGUGUCUUUGGAAAAACUUGGUUAACAUUAAAUAGCAUGUCUUUGGAAAAAGCUGAUGCCCAUCAAUAUAUGUGGAGGGAGAGACCUUGUUUUAUUUCUUUCCUGAUUUGCAGUAACAAUAUUCUCAAAUGACAAUCACUUUGCAAUUUCUUCCAUGUGUAGUAGCCCGGAAUUUCAAAUAUUGAUAUAAGUAUGAUUUUGGGGGUGUUUUAAGAGGGGACUCGGCGAGUUGGAGCCUAGACUCGCCGAGUAGGAUCGCAGACUUGGUCGCGGGUUCGCGACCGGACUCGACGAGUCCGAUAUGGACUCGGCGAGUCUACGCUGUUUAGCGAAAACCCUAACCGUUCAGGUUUGGGUCGUAUAUAACGCACUAUAUGCCGUCAUUGCCCGUCUUUUAGUCGACUGAGAAGAACCUAAGCGGCUGUGGGCAUCUAGGGCAAGAUUGAAGGCCAUUGGUGACUUGAAGAAAUUGUGGUGCAAGGAGGAGAAGAGUCUUGGCUAAAGGAACUGCAAGGGAUUCGAGUUCUAAGGUUUGGGGACACAGAGAGUGUGUUAUUCAGUGCAUUGGUGACUGUCCAGAGAGGAGAUCGUAUCAGUGAUCGGAGCAGCUUGAGCUAUCUGUUCAGUCGGCAGUUUCGAGGUUCUCAAGAGUCUGUGGCAAGGCAAAGGCGUGAUCGUACCAUUCCUCGCGUUGGUGUUUUAUGAUAUGAACCUGGGAAAUUACUCUGUUUAAUGAUGUAUUGAAAACCUUUUUGUAACAAUGUUAAUAAAAUGGGUGAUUUUGAAAAAUUUUAAUUGUUUUGAAAUUUUGGAUGUUACACCAUGAUCCAUUGAGUAUCCAUGAAACUACUAGUGUCAUUUUGGUGCUAGCUACCAAUAAACAUGGAAUGGAGAUUCAGAUGAAGAAGCUUUUUAUACUUGCAUUAAUUAAUAAGAUUACAUCUAACACACAGGUAGUCAAAGCUUGACUUUUUUUGAUGGUGUUGUCCUUGAUUUCCAGUAGACAGUUUUAAAAGCAUAGUAAUUUUCAUUUACUUAUUUGUUCACAAACAUAUGUGAAGUUUCUUAACAAAAAGCCAUUCAUAUGAAUACAUAUUGACAUGAUGCAUAUAGGGAACAUAAGAAAAG